CUGCAGGGAAGGAUUUGAUCAGUUAGGCUUGUGGCUAUAUUCCAGGAAUUAUCUGGUUCUGGGUAUAACCAAAGCCAGACUGAAUGGUACUAAAG
rnacentral:pre_miRNA from 7 species